UUGGUUUCGUUGCCUUACUGGUGAAAUAUCUUGUCAGUUUUUUCCAUAUUUGGUACCCUCUCCUACUACUACAAGAAACAAUAGGAAACUUAUAGAGGUAUGACGAUAAUCUGCAUUGUUUUCAUUAGAUUUUGAAUUCAAAUUGCAGCGGGUUACGUUCCAAUCAUAGAUAUAAUAGUUAUGUCUAUGAUUUAACAAAAAUUUAAAUCUUUUGAAGUUUUUUAUUGUUUAAUGUAGUAUAUACAAAAUAAAAAUGAAACAUUAUAAAAUUUGGGGAAAAAGAUGGGAAAAUUUCAUGACAAUCUAAUUCUAUGACCAAGUGCCAUCGAUAAAACAUAGAUAGAUGGAUUUCUGUAUUAAAUCUGUGUGCGGAUCUUUUUAAAAACGGUAUUUUUUCUUUAUUUUGGUUUAGAAUUUGAUUAAAAAAUGCACUUGUUUAUUCCCUAUAGUUUUUGUCAUGGAAAUCAUCUCCUUCAGAAAUGUAAGACUCUUUUCAAUAUGCCACAGUAUCAAUUUCCAGCACGAACCGUCAAUCAAUCAUAGACAAACUAAAACAACUCUAUGUUUGUCUUUGAUUCAAUUUUCGAACUGAUGGAAGGGAGUUAUUUUCUUAGACGCCG